rnacentral:rRNA from 1 species
AUUGAACGCUGGCGGCAGGCCUAACACAUGCAAGUCGAACGAGUGGCGGCCGGGUGAGUAAUGUCUGGGAAACUGCCCGAUGGAGGGGGAUAACUACUGGAAACGGUAGCUAAUACCGCAUACCAUCGGAUGAGCCCAGAUGGGAUUAGCUAGUAGGUGGGGAAACGGCUCACCUAGGCGACGAUCCCUCGCUGGUCUGAAAGGCUGACCACACACAUUGGAACAGAUACGCGGCCCAGACUCAUACGGGAGGCAGCAGUGGGGAAUAUUGGACAAUGGGCGCAAGCAUGAUGCAGCCGUGCCGCGAGUAUGAAGAAGGACUUCGAGUUAUAAAGUACUUUCAGCGAGGAGGCGUUACUCGCAGAAGAAGCACCGGCUAACUCCGUGCCAGCAGCCGCGGUAAUAC